UACGGAAGGCAGCAGUGGGGAUAUUGCACAAUGGGCGAAAGCCUGAUGCAGCUAUGCCGCGUGUAUGAAGAAGGCCUUAGGGUUGUAAAGUACUUUCAUCGGGGAGGAAAAAACAAAACUAAUAAUUUUAUUUCUUGACGUUACCCGAAAAAGAAGCACCGGCUAACUCCGUGCCAGCAGCCGCGGUAAUACGGAGGGUGCUAGCGUUAAUCAGAAUUACUGGGCGUAAAGAGCACGUAGGUGGUUUUUUAAGUUCAGAUGUGAAAUCCCUGGGCUUAACCUAGGAACUGCAUUUUGAAACUGAAGUACUAGAGUAUCGUAGAGGGAGGUAGAAUUCUAGGUGUAGCGGUGAAAUGCGUAGAUAUCUGGAGGAAUACCUGUGGCGAAAGCGGCCUCCUAAACGAAUACUGACACUGAGUGCGAAAGCGUGGGGAGCAAACAGGGAUUAGAUACC
rnacentral:rRNA from 1 species